rnacentral:rRNA from 1 species
AACGAACGCUGGCGGCAUGCCUAACACAUGCAAGUCGAACGAGACCUUCGGGUCUAGUGGCGCACGGGUGCGUAACGCGUGGGAACCUGCCCUUAGGUUCGGAAUAACUCCCCGAAAGGGGUGCUAAUACCGGAUAAUGUCUUCGGACCAAAGAUUUAUCGCCUUUGGAUGGGCCCGCGUUGGAUUAGCUAGUUGGUAGGGUAAAAGCCUACCAAGGCGACGAUCCAUAGCUGGUCUGAGAGGAUGAUCAGCCUCACUGGGACUGAGACACGGCCCAGACUCCUACGGGAAGCAGCAGUGGGGAAUAUUGGACAAUGGGCGAAAGCCUGAUCCAGCAAUGCCGCGUGAGUGAUGAAGGCCUUAGGGUUGUAAAGCUCUUUUACCCGGGAUGAUAAUGACAGUACCGGGAGAAUAAGCUCCGGCUAACUCCGUG